rnacentral:rRNA from 1 species
UACAGAGGUCUCAAGCGUUGUUCGGAUUCAUUGGGCGUAAAGGGCGCGUAGGCGGCCUGGCAAGUCAAAGGUGAAAUCCCUCGGCUCAACUGAGGAACUGCCUUUGAAACUGCCAGGCUUGAGGCCGGGAGGGGGUAGCGGAAUUCCCAGUGUAGCGGUGAAAUGCGUAGAUAUGCGGAGGAACACCGAUGGCGAAGGCAAUCCCCUGGGCCUGCACUGACGCUCAUGCACGAAAGCGUGGGGAGCAAACAGG